rnacentral:rRNA from 1 species
CAGUCGCCGCGGGAAAACGUAGGUGGUAAGCGUUGUCCGGAAUUAUUGGGCGUAAAGCGCGCGCAGGCGGAUCGGUCAGUCUGUCUUAAGAGUUCGGGGCUUAACCCCGUGAUGGGAUGGAAACUGCCAAUCUAGAGUAUCGGAGAGGAAAGUGGAAUUCCUAGUGUAGCGGUGAAAUGCGUAGAUAUUAGGAAGAACACCAGUGGCGAAGGCGACUUUCUGGACGAAAACUGACGCUGAGGCGCGAAAGCCAGGGGAGCGAACGGGAUUAGAGACCCCCGUAGUCCCUGUCUCUUAUACA